GCGCUGGCGGUGAGCGCUCGGGCCGGGCGGGAUCCGGCGCCAUCCUCGGGGCCGGCGCGUGCUAGGAGGGCGCGGCUCGCGGCGGGGCGCCCGGCCGGCGGGGGCGGCCGCCCAGUCCUUUCUGCGGGAUUCCCAGAGCGCAGCACAUCUUCACAAAGAAGAAUGGGGGACUUGGAGCCAAGGAUGCUGUCAUCCAGUUUCCCGAGGGUCUGGAUCUGAGGAGAACUGUGAUGAGCCACUGUUGCUCUGCAUCCGCUGUGCAGUGGGUGCAGCUCUUCCUUCUAAGACAUUUAUCUUGAACUAUAGAAGCUACCUCUUGCAAGCCCAUGGUGAUUGCUUUGAUUGCAAGCAGAUAGCAAAUUGCUAGAGUAAUGCGUGGCUUGUGGAAAACCUAAGUAGAAAUGUAACCUGCUCUUGCUGCCCAGAGUGCAUAGAUGCUGAACACGUUCGUCAGGAAGAUAGUGAUCAAUGCUGGCUUCCUGGGCAGGUUUAAUCCUGCUUCUCAGCAGGCUGUGAUCUG
rnacentral:lncRNA from 1 species